GUUCCAUGUGAACAGCAGUUGAACAUGGGUCAGUCGGUCCUUAGAGAUAGGUGAGCGCCGUUCCGAAGGGAUGGGCGAUGGCCUCCGUUGCCCUCAGCCAAUCGAAAGGGAGUCGGGUUUAGAUCCCUGAAUCCAGAGUGGCGGAGACGGACGCCAUGAGGUGUCCAGUGCGGUAACGCGACCGAUCCCGGAGAAGCCGGCGGGAGCCCCGGGGAGAGUUCUCUUUUCUUUGUGAUACACUGUGGUACAAUCGAAUGCAAUGGACUUCUCCAUUAGUGGCAAUGCAGUGAUCCUAAACAACUUGGAGGGAUGUACGAGAAAGAACACUAUCCACA
rnacentral:ncRNA from 1 species